CGGAGGAUCCAAGCGUUAUCCGGAAUCAUUGGGUUUAAAGGGUCCGUAGGCGGUUUAGUAAGUCAGUGGUGAAAGCCCAUCGCUCAACGGUGGAAUGGCCAUUGAUACUGCUAGACUUGAAUUAUUAGGAAGUAACUAGAAUAUGUAGUGUAGCGGUGAAAUGCUUAGAGAUUACAUGGAAUACCAAUUGCGAAGGCAGGUUACUACUAAUGGAUUGACGCUGAUGGACGAAAGCGUGGGUAGCGAACAGGAUUAGAUACCCUGGUAGUCCACGCCGUAAACGAUGGAUACUAGCUGUUGGGAGCAAUUUCAGUGGCUAAGCGAAAGUGAUAAGUAUCCCACCUGGGGAGUACGUUCGCAAGAAUG
rnacentral:rRNA from 1 species